GUGGCUUAACUUCUGAGUCUGUCUGCUUACAAUUGAAACUGAAACUAGUCUGCUGUACUCUGCUUGUGUUUCGCCUGUAACUGCUACCACAUUGGAAGAAUCUGCUGUUGGGGUCAACAAGGAACUGAAGAGAACCUUCCAGUCUAUUUAGAAAUUUUCCAACUCAAAUCAGUUGAGAAACUUGCUGGAUCCAUUAGAUAUCCGUGUGACAUUUUGCAGAGUUUAGUGUCUCCAUUGUCUCAAGGAAGUAAUCAGUCCAUGACAAUGGACCGAAGGAAAACCCUCCAGAACCAGAUCAUCAUACAUAUGCUCCGAGGUGAAUACCAGAUUUAAAAUAUGGCCAGCAAUGUGAAUCAGCUUUUGACUUACUGGACAUUUGACUGAGCACCUCUCCUUUUCAACCAAGACUUCAUUAAUGUCUGAAAACUAACAGCAGUAUAUUGGAAGAAAGCAAUAUUGGAUAUCUAGGUCAGCCUAAGACAAAAAUGAAAUUAAAGAAUAAGGUGCGUUAAAAACUUUACUAAGAAAAUGACUAACUUGCCCUGUGACACUCUGGACUACUUUCUGGCUUCUAAAAGAACAGGGGGGGAUGCAGCCAAAGUGAAGCAAUGAAACCUGCACAGCCUUCCCCAAAUCAGCCACUUUGUUCUGUGGUUGGUAGCAUUACACAAAUUAAAACAAAUUAACUAGCACCCAGGGGGUGCGUAACAAA